AUCUGUUCUUUGUGAAUGUAAAGAAAAUAAUAAACAACUUAACUUUAAACUAAUAGGUUAUCAUCAUUUGCUAGAAGUGUAUACUUUAAUAUUUUUUUAAGUAGAACAUUGCAGUAUGAACACAAUUAUUAUUUUAAAUAAAGUAGUAUCAUUUUAACUGUUAUGAUAACCUCUUUGAUAAUCGAGCUGACCCCUUAUUACCUCAUAUAUUUUUAAACAAGAUUAAGAUAGUAAAAUAAAUUGUACUUCAAAUUAUACUCAGUAACUCUUAUUAAAAAUAUUUUUAACAACAGCUAAUAUUAUACUAGAUACACGUAAAUAAUAAUUUGUAAUACACCUUCAACUAAUAAGAGAUUUUUUUUUAUUAUAAAGAAAAAUCUAUACUUAUUUAUUUGUAUAGUUUAUAUAAUAACAAUACCAAGAAAGAUUUAUAGUAAAAUAUUAAUCUCUUGCAAUCUCUUUAAGUUUGAUAUUUAAAUCAAAACUGACACUUAAAGUAUGAUUGGACUGAUCAUUAUAAUCUGAAUUGAAUUAUCCAUUAGACAAUAUGUCUACAAGAAAUAAUGAACCUACGAAUUUAUUUUAGAAACUUUUUGCUUAUCGCCCCUGUGAAAAUGUUAUAUUUUUUAAUUUUUUCAAAUUAGUUCUAGGGACUAAGAAUAGUUUAAUCCGGUCCUAAUUAUAGUAUAAUAACAGAUAUUAUCAUAAAUAUUAAUAACCCUAAAUAAUUAUAUACUAUUUUUGAGAUAUUUCUUAACAGUUCAUAGUUCGGUAUAAAAAAAAACAAACAACAUAAAAAAGAAAUGACUCAUUGCUUUAAAUAUACAAAUAAUGAUCUUCAUUCUUCAUUAUGAACACUUCUACUCAUAAUUAUUAAUGAAAUCACAAUAGUUAAUAUGUAUUUCGUAAAUAAGAAAUUUAUUUAAUACUAUAAUCUCUUUUUCUGUCUGUAUGUAUAUUUAAUUCAUUUCCUUUUAUAUUAAUAAAAUAUCUAUAUUAAUUAGUAAUUAAAAAAAAAAAAUUAUUUUUUAUAAGGGUUAAACCGUAUUAUUAUUAUGUAACAUAAAAUGAAAAUUAUUUAGUAGUAUAUCGACUAGGGAGGGAGAAAGCAACAAUUCUAGUUUGAUGUAAAUAUCUAUAUUUAUUACACGGUACCAUAUUACUAUAUGCAUCAGUUUUUAAAACCGGUGUUUGAGGUCGUCUCCUGUAGUCUGCUUUAACAUUCCACUGAGAACGCAUCCGACUCCUACGUACAUAAGAACAUACAUACUUCCACAAAUAUAUUAUUUUAAACACUCGUUACUCAUAUAGUUAAUCGAUUAGUUAGUAAUAAAAUAAUGGUGAACGAAAGAAGUAGUUUGACCAAAGUGGUUGGCAAGACCAAGCAAAUGUUACGCUAUGGAGCAACAUCAGGCGACCACGAAUCUUUCGAAUACACAUCAUUUGGUGGAAAACGUAAAUAUAGCAAAAUCAGAUUCUUAAAAAAGUUAUGGACUUGGAAUUUUUCAUCAAAGAAUGAUCAUAAAGAAAUCAUGCCCCUGGAAGAUGAUAUUCCCAUACCACAAAAACAAGUGACGGUAGCUACGUAUGCCUUGUGUUUCAUCAUGAUGUUAGCUGGUCUGUCAGUUAAAAAAAAUUAAACGAUAUAAAAAUAUUUUUUUUUUAAAUAAGCAGUACAUCUUUUAUAUAAAAUUAUUGAUUUAUUUGGUACACCUCUGCAAAGCUUGAUUAUGCUUUAAGGUUAAUACAAAUAUUAUUUUUUUUGUAUUCUGUUUAAUUUUUUACUUUUUGUUAUUUUAGAAAACUUUGAAUUAUAAAAAUAGACGUUUAAUGUUACCUAAAAAAAAUUAAAUGUUUGAUAAUUAAAAAAAAAAACUCAUGUAUAUUAAUCAUUAAAUAUAAACUAAAAUUUUUACUAAUUUAAUAGAUUCAAAUUAGAUAUUAAUUAUUAAUGAAGAUCCUAAUAUUGUUAAUUUUACAUGAUUUUUUUUUAUAAAUAUCGCAAAGUCUACUUAAUUAUUCAUUUUUGUAAUUAUACUUAGCUUCAUUACGACAUUUAUUAUUCUAGACUUAUCAUUGUUUUGUCACAAUUGUUAUGAUAAUACAUUAAUGUAAGCUCAACAUUGCCAUUUUAAGAUUUGGUUCCUAGUUAUUUCUAGUUUUAAUUACAUUUUAACAUUGUUAAUAUAUAUAUAAAAUAAAAUUUUAUUCUUCACUACAGAA